rnacentral:rRNA from 1 species
UACGGAGGGUGCAAGCGUUAUCCGGAUUCACUGGGUUUAAAGGGUGCGUAGGUGGAUUAGUAAGUCAGUGGUGAAAUCUCCGGGCUUAACCCGGAAACUGCCAUUGAUACUAUUAGUCUUGAAUACCGUGGAGGUCAGCGGAAUAUGUCAUGUAGCGGUGAAAUGCUUAGAUAUGACAUAGAACACCAAUUGCGAAGGCAGCUGGCUACACGAAUAUUGACACUCAAGCACGAAAGCGUGGGGAUCAAACAGG